CCUACGGGUGGCAGCAGUCGAGAAUCUUUCACAAUGGGCGAAAGCCUGAUGGAGCGACGCCGCGUGGGGGACGAAGGGCUUCGGCUCGUAAACCCCUGUCAUUUGCGACCAAACCGCACGACCUAAUACGUUGUGCGCUGAUGGUAGCAAAAGAGGAAGGGACGGCUAACUCUGUGCCAGCAGCCACGGUAAGACAGAGGUCCCAAGCGUUGUUCGGAUUCACUGGGCGUAAAGGGUGCGUAGGCGGUUGGAUAAGUCGGUUGUAAAAUCUCCAAGCUCAACUUGGAAAGGGCAACCGAAACUGUCCGGCUAGAGGAAUGGAGGGGAGACUGAAAUUCUCGGUGUAGCAGUAAAAUGCGUAGAUAUCGAGAGGAACACCGGUGGCGAGGGCGA
rnacentral:rRNA from 1 species